ACUUCAAACCACGAAAUUUUAACAAGAAAGAGACAAUUUGAUUAGCUUUCAUUCAAGAGGUUCCUCGUUGCUGAACGAAAAUUAGGGCCGGAGCUAUCAAUCCAAACGUUAACAUUACCACCUAUGGAAAAUGCAUUAGAGGGCUAUACCCAUAUUGAGCUCCAUGCUGAUAACAUGUAAAUUGAAAUCUUCUUCAAAGAAUAAAACACAACAAUGAGCCACACUUGAUUGAUGACUGCACCUUUCCUCAUAGCUGGCUGAUUCCAGUAAUCAGAGACAAUGUUGGAAACACAGAGUUAGGGUUCUUUACGACCUACUUUCUCCCCCUGGCUGCUAAACUCAAGAAGAGAUAUAAUGUUUCUUCUGUGUGCAUU